ACUUUACAUUAAGCAUAUAGAACAACCAGAAAAGAAAGGCUGACAGCUUAUCCACUUAGCAGCAAGCAACAACACAGUGGAUGGAAUACUUCGAUUUUGAUAGGGGAAAAACCCAGCAAAUCAGAGUGACGUCAAGCUGUAAGAUUCUGCAGUUAGAAAAGGAAGAAGGGUUCUUGUUCCCAGGAAUCCUUGAUGGGAAACCACUUAGUGAGUGACAUCAUGACUCCUCCCCCCAGAGUGCAUCAAAUUAAGAUGCUGUUUGCUAAGAAUAAACUGCCUCCUGUUCCCGCCCCAAGUCAUUUCAGCAUGUGGGAGAUUAGGGAGGCUAUGUUAUAGAAUAUAUCCAAAUUCUAUACAUACUGGUGUAAAUACAAUGUUUGAUCGAUCCAGUGAUGUUGAGUUGCCAAGCCUUUGUCUCCUAUUUGUCACUGUCACUGUUUGUAUUUCGGACUCCUGGAGGAAUAUAUGCAUUUCUGAGAAGUUAGCUCUUCCAAGAAACAAACAAUUUUAAGCAUCUAUGGAUUCGUACAGUAAUGGGGGGAAUGACAUGCUCUCCUGGGCUACUGUAACUGUUAGCAUCUGACAUUCUUUGAUAUUCUGCCUGUCACAGCGAAUUUUAACGGCUUGGUUUAUAAGAUAAGAUCCAAUUAUAAGUAUCUUCUUGAUUGAUCAUCGAGAUAAUUAGCCCACUACUAGAUGUCCGAUCACAGUGAGCACAAACAGAGAAAUGCAGUAUGAUUUGAUGCAAAAUCUGCAGGGCUUAGAACAGAGUUUCAUGACAAUUGCUCGCUGGUGACGAACUACAGGAGCUAGGGAUUUGAAACUGGAAACAGGAAGCAAGUUUUCUCAGGGAGAGUUGUUUACCUUUGCUGACGAGACUCCAGGGCGCCCGGCGGCAGCGGUGGUGGUGGCAGGAUUGAGC
rnacentral:lncRNA from 1 species